UACAGAGGUCCCGAGCGUUGUUCGGAUUCACUGGGCGUAAAGGGUGCGUAGGUGGUGGGGUAAGUCUGGUGUGAAAGCUCGCAGCUCAACUGCGAAACGGCACUGGAAACUACUCUGCUGGAGGGUUGGAGGGGGGACUGGAAUACUUGGUGUAGCAGUGAAAUGCGUAGAUAUCAAGUGGAACACCAGUGGCGAAGGCGAGUCCCUGGACAACUCCUGACACUGAGGCACGAAAGCCAGGGGAGCAAACAGG
rnacentral:rRNA from 1 species